rfam:Clostridium phage D-1873 CLG.Contig165, whole genome shotgun sequence.
UCCUUGGAGAGUUAUACCAAACUAGAGUAGAAUAAGGAAUUAUUCAAAAUAGAGCUUUAAGAAGAGGAAA